UACGUAGGGGGCUAGCGUUGUCCGGAAUCAUUGGGCGUAAAGAGCGUGUAGGCGGAUUGUUAAGUCAGGGGUGAAAUCCUGGAGCUCAACUCCAGAACUGCCUUUGAUACUGGCGAUCUUGAGUCCGGGAGAGGUGAGUGGAACUGCGAGUGUAGAGGUGAAAUUCGUAGAUAUUCGCAAGAACACCAGUGGCGAAGGCGGCUCACUGGCCCGGUACUGACGCUGAGGUGCGAAAGCGUGGGGAGCAAACAGGGAU
rnacentral:rRNA from 1 species